CGGAGGAUCCAAGCGUUAUCCGGAUUCAUUGGGUUUAAAGGGUGCGUAGGCGGAAUAGUAAGUCAGUGGUGAAAUCCUAUCGCUUAACGACAGAACUGCCAUUGAUACUGCUAAUCUUGAGUACAUUUGAAGUGGGCGGAAUGUGUAGUGUAGUGGUGAAAUACUUAGAUAUUACACAGAACACCGAUUGCGAAGGCAGCUCACUAAACUGUAACUGACGCUGAGGCACGAAAGCGUGGGGAUCAAACGGGAUUAGAUACCCUGGUAGUCCACGCUGUAAACGUUGAUAACUCGUUGUUGGCGAUAUACUGUCAGCGACUAAGCGAAAGUGAUAAGUUAUCCACCUGGGGAGUACGGUCGCAAGAUUG
rnacentral:rRNA from 1 species